GAUAUGGUGUGGCAUUGGUGUGGUAUGGUGUGUUGGCCCAAAUGUUCUACUAAUUUCUGUUAAUUUCUUUUUUAUAUAACCUGCACUGUUUGUCCCACCCACUGGCUUAGAUGGUUCAUGUAAAAUAUUGGCCUGAUGUAAAUCAUUACAUUGCAGACGUCAUCAGUGUAUCAACAGAAGGCUAGUAAAAGACUUUCAAAUGAUGUAAUUGUUCUGGCGGCAAAAACACUCCAAUCACUUGAUAUUAACUAGUUCCUGCAAUGACGCUUGCACUUCAGUUUUGUUGCUAUGAAACCCAAUGUGAUUCAAGAUUUGUGUAGAGUUCAAGAAGCAGUUAAGGCACUGCACCAAAUACGUGUUAAAACAAAAAAAAGUUUGAGUCUGAAAAUCGUUUGUAAGAAGAAAAUCCCAGCGAUGUUUAAGCCGAAUUUCCUUAAAAAUCUCAGGGUAGCAUUGAUGCAUCUGUCGGGUGAUGAGGUGAUUUGGUGUUUCUUGUCAGACUUCAAAAAUGCUAGUAAUUGGUUGCAGUUUUAAAAGGUUGUUGUUUCUACGUCUAUGUCGUUACAAUUUAAGGAUGGCUUUACAUCAAGUAUUACGCUUAUACCUAAUUACAUACUUAGCCUGGACUAUUUUAUCUUUUACAACAAUUGUGAUAUUACUUUCUUAACUGUGUUUAUCUUAACCCACUCUGUCGACUUUCCCUGUGGGAGGGAACUAGAGCACCCGGACCCACGACUUUCGGCAGAGCGUUGACUGACUCUUCAGUUCACAUGAGUGGACAACGAGAGAAUCGAAGCCACGAUCUCUUAGGCG